AAGCGGCAACAGCUCAAAUUUGAAAGCUGGCCCUUUCAGGGUCCGCGUUGUAAUUUGUAGAGGAUGAUUCGGCGAGGGCUCCCGCCUAAGUCCCCUGGAACGGGGCGUCAUAGAGGGUGAGAAUCCCGUAUGCGGUGGGCUGCCUUAGCCAUGUGAAUCUCCUUCGACGAGUCGAGUUGUUUGGGAAUGCAGCUCUAAAUGGGAGGUAAAUUUCUUCUAAAGCUAAAUACCGGCCAGAGACCGAUAGCGCACAAGUAGAGUGAUCGAAAGAUGAAAAGCACUUUGGAAAGAGAGUUAAAAAGUACGUGAAAUUGUUGAAAGGGAAGCGCUUGCAACCAGACUUGUCCGCAGUUGCUCAGCCGGUCUCCUGACCGGCGUACUCUUCUGCGGCCAGGCCAGCAUCAGUUCGGGCGGUCGGAUAAAGACCUCGGGAAUGUGGCUCCUCUCGGGGAGUGUUAUAGCCCGGGGUGGAAUGCGGCCAGCCUGGACUGAGGAUCUCGCUUCGGCAAGGAUGCUGGCGUAAUGGUUGUAAGCGGCCCGUCUUGAAACACGGACCAAGGAGUCUAACAUCUAUGCGAGUGUUUGGGUGUCAAACCCAUACGCGUAAUGAAAGUGAACGGAGGUGGGAACCCGCAAGGGCGCACCAUCGGCCGAUCCUGAUGUCUUCGGAUGGAUUUGAGCAAGAGCAUAGCUGUUGGGACCCGAAAGAUGGUGAACUAUGCCUGAAUAGGGUGAAGCCAGAGGAAACUCUGGUGGAGGCUCGCAGCGGUUCUGACGUGCAAAUCGAUCGUCAAAUUUGGGUAUAGGGGCGAAA
rnacentral:rRNA from 1 species